rnacentral:rRNA from 1 species
AUGCCUGCAAAGAAGAGAUCCAUGUCUGGAAAAGGGAAGAGGCGAAGCGCCAGGUUGCUCAAGCUCGAGGAGCAGAAGAAUGAUGACAAGGAUGGUGGCUGCAUCCUAGAUCCCUGGCACAUCAUCCGGAAUAGCUUCUCCUGCGCCGCGCAAGGGAAGAGAAAAAGGAAUGACGAAGUCCAGGUAAAAAUUUCCAUCAAAGCUAUGAAUUUGUUUUCUCCCUCCCGGUUGAUCUGUUCAUUCAUCUACAUCUUUCUUCAGAAGUUGCAGGGAGAAGCUUCGUGUGGCCAAGAGAUCGAUGCGGCAUAUACCGAUAACAUAUCAGGCAAGGGCGCGACGUCGGAGCAGAUCAUCAACUACAUUCUCAACAUGCUGGAGCUGAGAGACGGACUCGAGUUGUUCGCGAUGCCGGAUGACAUCCAGGUGGGUGAUUGCGCGGAACGGGUAGAGAGGCCCGGCGAUUUUGCGACGUUAAGGCAGAAGAACACAGAUGGCACGUACAAGACACUGGAGCAAUUCGAGAAGGAUGUGUACAUGGUGUUCCAGAAAGCAAUGUCCAUAAACAGCCAGGACACCAUACCUUACAAAGAGGCCGUGGCGUUGCUGGAUCAAGCCAAGCAGGUUUUCCUGUCCCUCAAGAAGAACCGGAUGUACUCCGAGUCGGACCUCCUGGCGUGGCGUCACAAGCAACUCGACGCUGGGCCCAGCAAGGCAGCGAGAGAUCAACAAGGCGGCGAUGCUGCCGUUACACCUGCACAGCAGCGGCACAGCAUCACGCCGCUGAAGAAGAAGGCCGCCGGCGUCGGCGUCGGCGAGAAGAAACACCGGAUCGGCAAGGGAGGAGUCAGAAGCACGCCAUCGCCGGUAAAGAGAGCAAGAAAAGGGUUCGCAGCAGCGACAACGGAACCUGGUGGCGCCAGGGAGCUCAAAAGGAGGCUCACUUACAACGAUGGCGCUGGUCGGGCAACGCCGGUGACGCCGCCGCCGCCUGCCUUCCGAGAUGGGCAAGCUACCGUUGUUUAUCAACAUCUGCAGGUGCAGGGGGGGCACACGUACCAGGAAAGCCUCCGGCGCUUCGUGCGGGACGCAGGGCUCAAGGCAAGGCUGGCCACCGAGUUCAAGAUCCUCGAAUGUGACACUCGGGGCAGGCACAACCCCUCGCCGGCGUCCUACUGGAACGGUUUCGCCCCCAACGCCGGCACCUACUACCCCUCAAGUGCCGCGACGUCACCGGCGGCCGGUGGCGAGCGGCCUUUUCCGGAUUGCAAGCCGGGGACGGACGACCUGCUCAGCCUCGUGAUGCUGAUGGGCACGCCCGCCUUCUUGGAGAGAGCCAAGCACAUGUUUGGUUACACGGCCUCUGAGGACAGCUCCAAGGUGACCAAAGCUGCCAAGGACGCAAAGGUCACCAUCACAGAAGCGCCGCAGACAAGUGACGCAGGCGACCCCGCUGCCACUUUCGGACCAUUCGCUCCGCCCAAGUUGCCCCUCAGCCGGCUGGGCUUCAGCCAGUUCGCCGCCUCUUCUGCCCAGCCGUUCACAGUGAAGUCGAAAUCUCCUGGAGAGAAGAGACGAGAAUGA